GACGAACGCUGGCGGCGUGCCUAACACAUGCAAGUCGAACGGAGUCGGCCCCGCAAGGGACUGACUUAGUGGCGAACGGGUGAGUAACGCGUGAGCAACCUGCCUUUCAGUGGGGGACAACAGUUGGAAACGACUGCUAAUACCGCAUAAAGCAUUUUGACCGCAUGAUCGAGAUGCCAAAGAUUUAUUGCUGAAAGAUGGGCUCGCGUCUGAUUAGAUAGUUGGUGAGGUAACGGCCCACCAAGUCGACGAUCAGUAGCCGGACUGAGAGGUUGAACGGCCACAUUGGGACUGAGAUACGGCCCAGACUCCUACGGGAGGCAGCAGUGGGGAAUAUUGGGCAAUGGGGGAAACCCUGACCCAGCAACGCCGCGUGAAGGAAGAAGGCUUUCGGGUUGUAAACUUCUUUUACCAGGGACGAAGAAAGUGACGGUACC
rnacentral:rRNA from 1 species